AUACAUGCAAGUCGAACGAGAAAGUCACUUCGGUGACGAUUAAAGUGGCGCACGGGUGAGUAACGCGUAGAUAAUCUGCCCUUCAGUCUGGGACAACUUUUCGAAAGGAGAGCUAAUACCGGAUAAUAAUGUAACACAUAUGUGUAACGUUUAAAAGCUCCGGCGCUGAAGGAGGAGUCUGCGUCCCAUUAGCUAGUUGGUAAGGUAAUGGCUUACCAAGGCAACGAUGGGUAGCGGGUUUGAGAGGACGAUCCGCCACACUGGAACUGAGACACGGUCCAGACUCCUACGGGAGGCAGCAGUAGGGAAUAUUGCACAAUGGAGGCAACUCUGAUGCAGCAAUGUCGCGUGAGUGAAGAAGGCCCUUGGGUCGUAAAGCUCUUUUAUGGGGGAAGAUGAUGACGGUACCCCAAGAAUAAGCACCGGCUAACUACGUGCCAGCAGCCGCGGUAAUACGUAGGGUGCAAGCGUUGUUCGGAAUUACUGGGCGUAAAGGGCGCGCAGGCGGAAUAGCAAGUCGGAGGUGAAAGCCCGGGGCUCAACCCCGGAGGGUCUUUCGAAACUGCUAAUCUAGAGAGGGUCAGGGGCCAGCAGAAUUCCUGGUGUAGAGGUGAAAUUCGUAGAUAUCAGGAGGAAUACCGGUGGCGAAAGCGGCUGGCUGGGACCACUCUGACGCUGAGGCGCGAAAGCGUGGGGAGCAAACAGGAUUAGAUACCCUGGUAGUCCACGCCGUAAACGAUGAGCACUGGAUGUCUGGAGGGUUCGACCUCUCUGGGUGUCUCAGCUAACGCAUUAAGUGCUCCGCCUGGGG
rnacentral:rRNA from 1 species